rnacentral:rRNA from 1 species
GGGACACGUGGUAUCCUGUCUGAAUAUGGGGGGACCAUCCUCCAAGGCUAAAUACUCCUGACUGACCGAUAGUGAACCAGUACCGUGAGGGAAAGGCGAAAAGAACCCCGGCGAGGGGAGUGAAAAAGAACCUGAAACCGUGUACGUACAAGCAGUGGGAGCACGCUUAGGCGUGUGACUGCGUACCUUUUGUAUAAUGGGUCAGCGACUUAUAUUCUGUAGCAAGGUUAACCGAAUAGGGGAGCCGAAGGGAAACCGAGUCUUAACUGGGCGUUAAGUUGCAGGGUAUAGACCCGAAACCCGGUGAUCUAGCCAUGGGCAGGUUGAAGGUUGGGUAACACUAACUGGAGGACCGAACCGACUAAUGUUGAAAAAUUAGCGGAUGACUUGUGGCUGGGGGUGAAAGGCCAAUCAAACCGGGAGAUAGCUGGUUCUCCCCGAAAGCUAUUUAGGUAGCGCCUCGUGAAUUCAUCUCCGGGGGUAGAGCACUGUUUCGGCAAGGGGGUCAUCCCGACUUACCAACCCGAUGCAAACUGCGAAUACCGGAGAAUGUUAUCACGGGAGACACACGGCGGGUGCUAACGUCCGUCGUGAAGAGGGAAACAACCCAGACCGCCAGCUAAGGUCCCAAAGUCAUGGUUAAGUGGGAAACGAUGUGGGAAGGCCCAGACAGCCAGGAUGUUGGCUUAGAAGCAGCCAUCAUUUAAAGAAAGCGUAAUAGCUCACUGGUCGAGUCGGCCUGCGCGGAAGAUGUAACGGGGCUAAACCAUGCACCGAAGCUGCGGCAGCGACGCUUAUGCGUUGUUGGGUAGGGGAGCGUUCUGUAAGCCUGUGAAGGUGUGCUGUGAGGCAUGCUGGAGGUAUCAGAAGUGCGAAUGCUGACAUAAGUAACGAUAAAGCGGGUGAAAAGCCCGCUCGCCGGAAGACCAAGGGUUCCUGUCCAACGUUAAUCGGGGCAGGGUGAGUCGACCCCUAAGGCGAGGCCGAAAGGCGUAGUCGAUGGGAAACAGGUUAAUAUUCCUGUACUUGGUGUUACUGCGAAGGGGGGACGGAGAAGGCUAUGUUGGCCGGGCGACGGUUGUCCCGGUUUAAGCGUGUAGGCUGGUUUUCCAGGCAAAUCCGGAAAAUCAAGGCUGAGGCGUGAUGACGAGGCACUACGGUGCUGAAGCAACAAAUGCCCUGCUUCCAGGAAAAGCCUCUAAGCAUCAGGUAACAUCAAAUCGUACCCCAAACCGACACAGGUGGUCAGGUAGAGAAUACCAAGGCGCUUGAGAGAACUCGGGUGAAGGAACUAGGCAAAAUGGUGCCGUAACUUCGGGAGAAGGCACGCUGAUAUGUAGGUGAAGCGACUUGCUCGUGGAGCUGAAAUCAGUCGAAGAUACCAGCUGGCUGCAACUGUUUAUUAAAAACACAGCACUGUGCAAACACGAAAGUGGACGUAUACGGUGUGACGCCUGCCCGGUGCCGGAAGGUUAAUUGAUGGGGUUAGCGGUAACGCGAAGCUCUUGAUCGAAGCCCCGGUAAACGGCGGCCGUAACUAUAACGGUCCUAAGGUAGCGAAAUUCCUUGUCGGGUAAGUUCCGACCUGCACGAAUGGCGUAAUGAUGGCCAGGCUGUCUCCACCCGAGACUCAGUGAAAUUGAACUCGCUGUGAAGAUGCAGUGUACCCGCGGCAAGACGGAAAGACCCCGUGAACCUUUACUAUAGCUUGACACUGAACAUUGAGCCUUGAUGUGUAGGAUAGGUGGGAGGCUUAGAAGUGUGGACGCCAGUCUGCAUGGAGCCGACCUUGAAAUACCACCCUUUAAUGUUUGAUGUUCUAACGUUGACCCGUAAUCCGGGUUGCGGACAGUGUCUGGUGGGUAGUUUGACUGGGGCGGUCUCCUCCUAAAGAGUAACGGAGGAGCACGAAGGUUGGCUAAUCCUGGUCGGACAUCAGGAGGUUAGUGCAAUGGCAUAAGCCAGCUUGACUGCGAGCGUGACGGCGCGAGCAGGUGCGAAAGCAGGUCAUAGUGAUCCGGUGGUUCUGAAUGGAAGGGCCAUCGCUCAACGGAUAAAAGGUACUCCGGGGAUAACAGGCUGAUACCGCCCAAGAGUUCAUAUCGACGGCGGUGUUUGGCACCUCGAUGUCGGCUCAUCACAUCCUGGGGCUGAAGUAGGUCCCAAGGGUAUGGCUGUUCGCCAUUUAAAGUGGUACGCGAGCUGGGUUUAGAACGUCGUGAGACAGUUCGGUCCCUAUCUGCCGUGGGCGCUGGAGAACUGAGGGGGGCUGCUCCUAGUACGAGAGGACCGGAGUGGACGCAUCACUGGUGUUCGGGUUGUCAUGCCAAUGGCACUGCCCGGUAGCUAAAUGCGGAAGAGAUAAGUGCUGAAAGCAUCUAAGCACGAAACUUGCCCCGAGAUGAGUUCUCCCUGACUCCUUGAGAGUCCUGAAGGAACGUUGAAGACGACGACGUUGAUAGGCCGGGUGUGUAAGCGCAGCGAUGCGUUGAGCUAACCGGUACUAAUGAACCGUGAGGCUUAACCUUACAAC